rnacentral:sRNA from 1 species
GUCAAGAGUCUUUGGCACCGUUUUGGUGAGCGGAUUUCUUUUGCCUGCGUAAAGGUAAAAGACGAUG